rnacentral:rRNA from 1 species
AGAGUUUGAUUCUGGCUCAGGGUGAAGGCUGGCGGCGUGCUUGACACAUGCAAGUCGAACGGUAUGUGGCAACACAUAGAGUGGCGAACGGGUGAGUAACACGUGGGAACGUACCUUCUGCAGGGGGAUAACUGACCGAAAGGACAGCUAAUACCGCAUAAGACCGAGAGGAGAAAGGUGCAACAGCAUCGGCAGAGGAGCGGCCCGCGGACCAUCAGCUAGUUGGUGGGGUAAGAGCCUACCAAGGCAACGACGGAUAGCCGGCGUGAGAGCGUGGCCGGCCACAAGGACACUGAGAUACGGGUCCUACUCCUACGGGAGGCAGCAGUGCGGAAUUUUAGAUAAUGGAGGCAACUCUGAUCUAGCGACGCCGCGUGCAGGAAGAAGGUCUUCGGAUUGUAAACUGCUGUGGUAAGGGAAAAAUGCCAUGUAGAGUGGAAAGCUACAUGGAGGGAUGGUACUUUACUAGAAAGCCCCGGCUAACUACGUGCCAGCAGCCGCGGUAAUACGUAGGGGGCGAGCGUUACCCGGAAUCACUGGGCGUAAAGGGAGCGUAGGUGGCCUGACAUGUCGACUGUGAAAACCCGGAGCUCAACUCCGGACUUGCAGUUGAAACUGCCAGGCUUGAGGACGGUAGAGGAAGACGGAACUGCCAGUGUAGGGGUAAAAUCCUUAGAUAUUGGCAGGAACGCCGGUGACGAAUGUGGUUUUCUGGGCCGGUUCUGACACUGAUGCUCGAAAGCCAGGGGAGCGAACGGGAUUAGAUACCCUGGUAGUC